rnacentral:rRNA from 1 species
UACGAAGGGGGCUAGCGUUGCUCGGAAUGACUGGGCGUAAAGGGCGCGUAGGCGGUUUGUACAGUCAGGUGUGAAAUUCCCGGGCUCAACCUGGGGGCUGCACUUGAUACGUAGGAACUUGAGUGGGGAAGAGGGUCGUGGAAUUCCCAGUGUAGAGGUGAAAUUCGUAGAUAUUGGGAAGAACACCGGUGGCGAAGGCGGCGACCUGGUCCUUGACUGACGCUGAGGCGCGAAAGCGUGGGGAGCAAACGGG